CCAAUAGCGUAUAUUAAAGUUGUUGCAGUUAAAAAGCUCGUAGUUGAAUUUCGGGGUCAGUAGGUUGGUCGUGCCACCGGUACGUACUGGUCUCACUGAUUCCUCCUUCCUGAUGAGCUGUAAUGCCAUUAAUUUGGUGUUGCAGGGAAUCUGGACUGUUACUUUGAAAAAAUUAGAGUGUUUAAAGCAGGCUAACGCUUGAAUACAUUAGCAUGGAAUAAUGAAAUAGGACGUUCGAUCCUAUUUUGUUGGUUUCUAGGAUUGACGUAAUGAUUAAUAGGGAUAGUUGGGGGCAUUAGUAUUCAAUUGUCAGAGGUGAAAUUCUUGGAUUUAUUGAAGACUAACUAUUGCGAAAGCAUUUGCCAAGGAUGUUUUCAUUAAUCAAGAACGAAAGUUAGGGGAUCAAAGACGAUUAAGUACGUCGUAGUCCUAACCAUAAACUAUACCGACUAGGAAUCAGACGAUGUUAAUUUUUUAAUGACUCGUUUGGUACCUUACG
rnacentral:rRNA from 1 species